rnacentral:rRNA from 1 species
UACGUAGGGUGCGAGCGUUAAUCGGAAUUACUGGGCGUAAAGCGUGCGCAGGCGGUUUUGUAAGACCGAUGUGAAAUCCCCGGGCUUAACCUGGGAACUGCAUUGGUGACUGCAAGGCUUGAGUAUGGCAGAGGGGGGUAGAAUUCCACGUGUAGCAGUGAAAUGCGUAGAGAUGUGGAGGAAUACCGAUGGCGAAGGCAGCCCCCUGGGUCAAUACUGACGCUCAUGCACGAAAGCGUGGGGAGCAAACAGG